CGAACAAUUCAGCGGCUUUAACCGGACGCUCGACGCCAUUAAUAAUGUUUUCCGUAAAUUCAGCGCCUUCCAUGAUGAGACAGGCCGUUUGAAUGUUGACGGGAUGAACAUAAUAAGCAAUGACGGCAGCAAUAAACUCAACAGGAGCAGGAAAGCGAGGGUAUCCUACAAAGUCCAGCGUACCAUAAACGCAAGCCUCAACGCAGCGACGAGCACGAGAGCGGUCAGUAGCAAUCCAAACUU
rnacentral:rRNA from 1 species